rnacentral:rRNA from 1 species
UACGUAGGGGGCAAGCGUUGUCCGGAAUCAUUGGGCGUAAAGCGCGUGUAGGCGGCCAGAAAAGUCCGCUGUGAAAACUCGAGGCUCAACUUCGAGCUGUCGGUGGAAACUUUCUGGCUAGAGUCCGGAAGAGGGAGAAUGGAAUUCCUGGGUGUAGCGGUGAAAUGCGCAGAUAUCAGGAAGAGCACCCGUGGCGAAGGCGGUUCUCUGGGACGGUACUGACGCUGGAGACGCGAAAGCGUGGGGAGCGAACAGG